rnacentral:rRNA from 1 species
CUCUUUUCAGAAUUGAGUGGCAAACGGGUGAGUAACACGUAUCCAACCUGCCGAUGACUCGGGGAUAGCCUUUCGAAAGAAAGAUUAAUACCCGAUGGCAUAGUUCUUCCGCAUGGUGGAACUAUUAAAGAAUUUCGGUCAUCGAUGGGGAUGCGUUCCAUUAGGUUGUUGGCGGGGUAACGGCCCACCAAGCCUUCGAUGGAUAGGGGUUCUGAGAGGAAGGUCCCCCACAUUGGAACUGAGACACGGUCCAAACUCCUACGGGAGGCAGCAUG